UAAACAAAAAGUUUCGCUUCGACCAAAAAAAAUAACUCUCAAUAAUAUAUAAUUGUCUGGCAAACUGCAACAUAUGAAUAAAUUGUUUGUAGUCUACAAAUUGAAUAGAAUAACCGGUCUAAAAAUAUUAUGCAAAUAUUUUCCAUCGACUUCGAAAAACAUAUACUACAACAGAUCAGACUGUUCAAUAACAUCGUUCUCCAAAAGCUUGAGAAGUUGUUCCACUUUAUUCUGCAUUAACAUUAAUCAAAUGUUAAAACCAGUUUAAUAGUAAAACAUAUUAUAAUCAAACUAACAUGAAGUAUAUAAAUAGUUAUAAACUAAUAAAUGCAGGGGCUCUUAAGUACAUAUCUCAUUGAAUAGUAGAUGAAUUUGCUUUCUUAAGGUGAAAAUACAUAAACAUGAUUUAUAGACCAAACAAACAAAAAAAAAAUUCCACUCACAUCUCCAGUACACAUUCUAAUAGCUUAGAAAAGUACAUUUCACUAGUGUGAUGAAAUUAUUAUCAGGCAAAGCAACAAAUAAACAAAGGAAAUAGGUCUGUUCGUAGAUAAAACAUACAAAUAAAGUAAUAACAAAUAUUUCAGCUGACAUCUCGAGUACUCAUAUUCAAAUAGUCUGGAUAAAAUGUGUUUCACAUAAGGCCACUUCUUUAGACAAAUAGAUGAUGUCAAUAGAGAUGUUUUCAUCUAAAUAACAUAAAUUAAUUAACAAACUCAAUCUAGGAAGCCAACUAAUUAAGGGUAUAAUUGAGUUCAACGAUUAAGAAAUAACAUGUGAGAAAAAUCCACAUGCUAUUAUUUAUUUAUAACACAAAUUACAAUCCAUCUAUUGGCAACUCAAGUAAUGUUCAAUUUAUUAGUACUCAGACUCUUCAAGUAGCUACAAUUAUAUAGUAUUUUCAUAUUUUUUACUCAAUUCAAAACAAAAAAGUGAAAGUGCAUUGAUAAAAAAAAUUAUCCCAAUAAAAUAUAACAUGUUAUAAUGAUUUAAACAUAAACUUUCUUACCAAGACAAAUUUCCGGCAGUGUUAUUCCCUUGCAUUCUAAGAAAGAAUUGAUACAUUUCUUCAUGUGUUUGCAAUUGCAACGACUCUAUUUUUUCUUCAUAACUACUAUUUUGUUUUGCCAUUUUCUCUGCUAGUUCUGUAGUGAUUCAUAACUACUGCUUAUUUUUCCUUUGCUCUGCUAGUUCUGUAUUAGGGUGUUAGUUAUCUUUCUUGCACUUUGAAGCUCAUUCCCAUUUUCUUUUUAUGUAUUUAAUGAAUAUUUCCAUAGUUCAAUCUUGUUUGGAUUAGUCUGCUUGUAAUGUACUAGUAAAUAUCACAAUGACAAGUUGUUAAUUUUCAAAAAAAUACGGGAUAGAUUUUAAAAUUGAGAAUGACAAGAAUACAAACCAUUUUCCUAUAACACGAAAGAUAUAUAAAAUCAAAAAAGUAACAGGAAACAAUUUAAUGAGAUUCAAGGAUUGCAGGCCCUACCAAACAUCACCAAAUUGUCACAGAUUGAGAAAAAAAAAUAUCAAUAGUAGGCACAUAACAUUACCAAAUGCCAUUAACAGAAGGGGGUGUAUUGAUUUAUAUUUUUAUUUUUUAAAUUGAGCUCAACAAUGUCGAAAACAUGUUCAGAGGAGAAGACAAUAUAAAAGAAAUGUUUAAAGCUGCGAAAAACUCACCUCGCGAAGAUAAUCGAUACCAGAAAGAAGCACAUCCGUCGCUCCGUCGCCCACACUCCGCCGACGCCGCCCAAUUUUGUCCAAUACAGAACUUCAAUGUAUUGGCUUGCGGAAAAGUAGCAGUAAAAAAACCUUAAACAUAGCAUAGCAAAAUGAAAAAAAAAAUUACCUUGAUUUAUUGAACGAUUAUUAGCAGAGUAU
rnacentral:lncRNA from 1 species